CCGGUAUCUUUGGUUUCUGUUGAUGAAAUGGUAUGUUAUCACUAGGGAAUCUUAGCAUAAUGGAAUAACCUAAUCUAUUAACAGGUUUCCUUUGUCUUUCUUUAACACUGACACAUACACUGAUCAGUCACAACAUUAAAACCUAAAAUAUUAUAGGCCUUAUUCAUAUGGUAUUAUUUUGUCAUAAUUACAAUUUAUAAAGAUCUCCAUUUUCUUUAUGUGGUAUUGCCAAUUAGGGUGUGUCCUUUCCUUUCUUUCCUCUAUCACUAUGGGGGGACUGAUAGAGUGAAACAUGUUCUGUGUAAGAAAUAGUGGAUGUAUUCUGUCU